AGCAGUAGCCACGGUAAUACGUAGGUGGCGAGCGUUGUCCGGAAUCAUUGGGCGUAAAGGGAGCGCAGGCGGGCAUAUAAGUCUUUCUUAAAAGUGCGGGGCUCAACCCCGUGAUGGGAAAGAAACUAUAUGUCUUGAGUACAGGAGAGGAAAGCGGAAUUCCCAGUGUAGCGGUGAAAUGCGUAGAUAUUGGGAGGAACACCAGUGGCGAAGGCGGCUUUCUGGACUGCAACUGACGCUGAGGCUCGAAAGCCAGGGGAGCGAACGGGAUUAGAUACCCGAGUAGUCCCUGUCUCUUAUACA
rnacentral:rRNA from 1 species